GUUGCCACCACGAGAGGUGGGGACGUCAGGCGGGACCGCCGGUGACAAACCGGAGGAAGGUGGGGACGACGUCAAGUCAUCAUGGCCCUUAUGUCCUGGGCUACACACGUGCUACAAUGGCCGGUACAGAGCGCAGCGAGGCCGCGAGGCGGAGCGAAUCGCUUAAAGCCGGUCCCAGUACGGAUUGGAGUCUGCAACCCGACUCCAUGAAGUUGGAAUCGCUAGUAAUCGCGCAUCAGCAUGGCGCGGUGAAUACGUUCCCGGGCCUU
rnacentral:rRNA from 1 species